rnacentral:rRNA from 1 species
GACGAACGCUGGCGGCGUGCUUAACACAUGCAAGUCGAGCGGUAAGGCCCUUUCGGGGUACGACGAGCGGCGAACGGGUAGGAGUAACAACGUGGGUGGACCUCGCCCUCCAGCUCUGGGAGUAAGACCUCGGGAAACCGGGGUACCGUAAUAACUGGAGUAAUGACUCCAUGACGCAUGUUGUGGGGUGGAAAGACCUUGUGCGGCUGAGGAUGGGCCCGGCGGCCUAUCAGCUUGUUGGUGGGGUGGAUGGCCUACCAAGG